rnacentral:rRNA from 1 species
GAUGAACGCUGGCGGCGUGCUUAACACAUGCAAGUCGAACGGUGAAAGAGAGCUUGCUCUCUGGAUCAGUGGCGAACGGGUGAGUAACGCGUGAGCAAUCUGCCCUUGACUCUGGGAUAAGCGCUGGAAACGGCGUCUAAUACCGGAUACGAGCUGCGAAGGCAUCUUCAGCAGCUGGAAAGAACUUCGGUCAAGGAUGAGCUCGCGGCCUAUCAGCUAGUUGGUGAGGUAACGGCUCACCAAGGCGUCGACGGGUAGCCGGCCUGAGAGGGUGACCGGCCACACUGGGACUGAGACACGGCCCAGACUCCUACGGGAGGCAGCAGUGGGGAAUAUUGCACAAUGGGCGCAAGCCUGAUGCAGCAACGCCGCGUGAGGGACGACGGCCUUCGGGUUGUAAACCUCUUUUAGCAGGGAAGAAGCGAAAGUGACGGUACCUGCAGAAAAAGCACCGGCUAACUACGUGCCAGCAGCCGCCGUAAAAC